rnacentral:rRNA from 1 species
AAUGAACGCUGGCGGCAUGCCUAACACAUGCAAGUCGAACGAGAUCUUCGGGUCUAGUGGCGCACGGGUGCGUAACGCGUGGGAAUCUGCCCUUUGGUUCGGAAUAACAGUUGGAAACGACUGCUAAUACCGGAUGAUGACGAUAGUCCAAAGAUUUAUCGCCAGAGGAUGAGCCCGCGUAGGAUUAGCUAGUUGGUGUGGUAAGGGCGCACCAAGGCGACGAUCCUUAGCUGGUCUGAGAGGAUGAUCAGCCACACUGGGACUGAGACACGGCCCAGACUCCUACGGGAGGCAGCAGUGGGGAAUAUUGGACAAUGGGCGAAAGCCUGAUCCAGCAAUGCCGCGUGAGUGAUGAAGGCCUUAGGGUUGUAAAGCUCUUUUACCCGGGAUGAUAAUGACAGUACCGGGAGAAUAAGCUCCGGCUAACUCCGUGCCAGCCGCCGCCGUAA